rnacentral:misc_RNA from 1 species
GCGGGGAGGAAUUUUGUAGACGGAAACCUCGCGGACCACCAGGAGAGUGUGCUCCAUGGAUUCCUCAUCCUCCUCAAAUGACAUCGUUUUGGAGGGUUCUUUUGAAGGACUGUGAAGGUAAUGUGGUGAGAUAUUGGGCUUAAAUUUUGUAAGGGGAUAAUUCUUCCGAGAUCUGUGAGGUGCAGGGAUUGUAUCAACAGGAGAGAGAGAUUUGCAGAGACGUAACUU